CGUAACAGCAGAUAGAGAGCAGUGAUUGGUCAGACCAUAGAUAAUAUAGAAGACAGCGCGCUAGCGUAUCUAGUCUAUGUGUAUCUGUGGUCGGCACGUCUGGCAGCAUCUCUGGCUGCUGUUGACCUUGUUUUUGGAGUAAAACACGGUGGAAGCUGAAUUAGUGAGGAUGACUCCUGCUCCUGUCAUCUCUAAGCUCCUCACACAUCUUUACCUGCACAUGAGGAAAAUCACUCCUGUAGAAUGCAGAUGUUCAGAGGGAGAUGAUGCCACAUCUGGUCCUGCUGAUGGAAGGUCUUGAAGUUCUCUGACUGGCCUCGACUGAAGAUGGUCGUCUCACUGGAUUUAAGGUUCAGAUGCUCAGUAACAAACUCCACCAAUGUGCCAACAGGGAAGCUUUAGGUUUAUUAAAUGUUGCUAUGAAGGUUUCGCUGUUUUUCUUUGUGAAUGCAAUGUGCUCCAACUGAAACUUGAAUUAGAACUUAGAAGUAAGUCCUGCCAUCUGAAAGGAUUUAUUUGCAUUAAUAACCUCAUAACAUUCUAAUUUUUAUUCCAGUCUUGGUUGGAAAUAGAAUCUCUGUAUUGAUUCAGGUAAAAACUGAACUUCACAGCAUGUUGGAGCAAAACAACCAGAUGAAAACUGUGAUGGUGUUGGAUUGUCAGACAGUAGUGUUGCAGCUCAAAGCAGCUUUUUUUUUUUUAAUCUCAGUUCAUUCUGACAUUCAGCUAUGAAUCAACACAGCAGAUGGUGAUCCAUGCUGUCCUGACCCUACAGUAUUGAGAUUAAGAAAUCAAAUAUUCUAUAAAAUGUAAAUACACUGAACUUAUUUGGAUAUAUUUAAGUGAGACUCUACAAUAUUAUUUGACACAAAUCUGUCUAAAUCAAAAUUUUAAUAAUUUUUACUCCAAACAUUUACUGGACUGAUUUAAAUAUUAAAAUCACUCCUUUCUAAUCCUCUGCUGUACAUUCAAACCUGAGGCCUUAAAUAGAAACACAGAAGUAUCUGUUUGAAGGAACUUCUGCAGACUCCUGGUUUCAGAACAUGAUGAUAGAAUCAUAGACAAGCUUUAACAAAAGCUGCCUGAGAGUUUACAGCUUUUUAUGUUAGAUUUCUUCAGUAAUUUCAUGAGAGUUAUUAGCAAAAAUCAAGUGUUCAUUUGAUGAACUUCAUUUCCUAAAACAUCCAGAAUUGGAGCUCAUAUCUUUGGCAGCUGUAAAGUUUCUGCUCCUUCAAAGUUCACAACACAAUGAAUUAAUUCCUAAAACACUCUCAAUGCUGCAGAGCAUUUGUGAUGCUGAAGCAGUGACCAGUUUUUCUGUUUCUUCUCUGGAGAUGCACAAUGAGGGACAUCUGCAGAGACUGAGAAAGAGUCUCACCACAUCCUGACAUGAGGAAAAAGACUUUAUUGAAGACUACAAUGAGAAAAACUAUCAGACAGCAGACGGCUGCAUUCAAGUCUGUAGCUGCUGAAUUCAUGGAUGAAUCAUCUGGCACUAGAGAGGAAGACCAUCAAACAUCCACGUCAGCUGAUGGAGGUCCAAGAGUCUCACCGAACAACCAACCUACAGAGUGAAGAGGUCUAACCUGAUUGGACGGCCUCCUAUUCAGCCACAUGUGUGAACAAAUGCCUCUAAGCUGAUUUGUUUUCUAAAAUAAAUCUAGUUUGAGUCCUAA